rnacentral:rRNA from 1 species
CAGUAGCCGCGGUAAUACGGAGGGAGCUAGCGUUGUUCGGAAUUACUGGGCGUAAAGCGCGCGUAGGCGGUUACUCAAGUCAGAGGUGAAAGCCCGGGGCUCAACCCCGGAACUGCCUUUGAAACUAGGUGACUAGAAUCUUGGAGAGGUCAGUGGAAUUCCGAGUGUAGAGGUGAAAUUCGUAGAUAUUCGGAAGAACACCAGUGGCGAAGGCGACUGACUGGACAAGUAUUGACGCUGAGGUGCGAAAGCGUGGGGAGCAAACAGGAUUAGAUACCCCGGUAGUCCCUGUCUCUUAUAA